AGAGUUUGAUCCUGGCUCAGAUUGAACGCUAGCGGGAUGCUUUACACAUGCAAGUCGAACGGCAGCACGAGAGAGCUUGCUCUCUUGGUGGCGAGUGGCGGACGGGUGAGUAAUAUAUCGGAACGUGCCCAGUAGCGGGGGAUAACUACUCGAAAGAGUGGCUAAUACCGCAUACGCCCUACGGGGGAAAGGGGGGGAUCGCAAGACCUCUCACUAUUGGAGCGGCCGAUAUCGGAUUAGCUAGUUGGUGGGGUAAAGGCUCACCAAGGCAACGAUCCGUAGCUGGUUUGAGAGGACGACCAGCCACACUGGGACUGAGACACGGCCCAGACUCCUACGGGAGGCAGCAGUGGGGAAUUUUGGACAAUGGGGGAAACCCUGAUCCAGCCAUCCCGCGUGUAUGAUGAAGGCCUUCGGGUUGUAAAGUACUUUUGGCAGAGAAGAAAAGGCAUCCCCUAAUACGGGAUGCUGCUGACGGUAUCUGCAGAAUAAGCACCGGCUAACUACGUGCCAGCAGCCGCGGUAAUACGUAGGGUGCAAGCGUUAAUCGGAAUUACUGGGCGUAAAGCGUGUGUAGGCGGUUCGGAAAGAAAGAUGUGAAAUCCCAGGGCUCAACCUUGGAACUGCAUUUUUAACUGCCGAGCUAGAGUAUGUCAGAGGGGGGUAGAAUUCCACGUGUAGCAGUGAAAUGCGUAGAUAUGUGGAGGAAUACCGAAGGCGAAGGCAGCCCCCUGGGAUAAUACUGACGCUCAGACACGAAAGCGUGGGGAGCAAAAAGGAUUAGAUACCCUGGUAGUCCACGCCCUAAA
rnacentral:rRNA from 1 species